rnacentral:rRNA from 1 species
UACGGAGGGUGCGAGCGUUAACCGGAAUUACUGGGCGUAAAGCGCACGCAGGCGGUUUGUUAAGCUAGAUGUGAAAGCCCCGGGCUCAACCUGGGAUGGUCAUUUAGAACUGGCAGACUAGAGUCUUGGAGAGGGGAGUGGAAUUCCAGGUGUAGCGGUGAAAUGCGUAGAUAUCUGGAGGAACAUCAGUGGCGAAGGCGACUCCCUGGCCAAAGACUGACGCUCAUGUGCGAAAGUGUGGGUAGCGAACAGG